rnacentral:rRNA from 1 species
UGGGGAAUAUUGGACAAUGGGGGCAACCCUGAUCCAGCAAUGCCGCGUGUGUGAAGAAGGUCUUCGGAUUGUAAAGCACUUUCGACGGGGACGAUGAUGACGGUACCCGUAGAAGAAGCCCCGGCUAACUUCGUGCCAGCAGCCGCGGUAAUACGAAGGGGGCUAGCGUUGCUCGGAAUGACUGGGCGUAAAGGGCGCGUAGGCGGCGGCGUAAGUCAGAUGUGAAAUUCCUGGGCUUAACCUGGGGGCUGCAUUUGAGACUGCGAUGCUAGAGGAUGGAAGAGGCUCGUGGAAUUCCCAGUGUAGAGGUGAAAUUCGUAGAUAUUGGGAAGAACACCGGUGGCGAAGGCGGCGAGCUGGUCCAUUACUGACGCUGAGGCGCGAUAGCGUGGGGAGCAAACAGG